rnacentral:rRNA from 1 species
CAGUCGCCGCGGGAAUACGAAGGGGGCUAGCGUUGUUCGGAAUUACUGGGCGUAAAGCGCACGUAGGCGGAUAUUUAAGUCAGGGGUGAAAUCCCAGAGCUCAACUCUGGAACUGCCUUUGAUACUGGGUAUCUUGAGUGUGAUAGAGGUAUGUGGAACUCCGAGUGUAGAGGUGAAAUUCGUAGAUAUUCGGAAGAACACCAGUGGCGAAGGCGACAUACUGGAUCAUUACUGACGCUGAGGCUCGAAAGCGUGGGGAGCAAACAGGAUUAGAUACCCCGGUAGUCCCUGUCUCUUAUAU